CUGUUUUAGGAAGACAGCUACCUUCAGAUGAUACAGGACUCACUGACAAUCACUCUUGCUUCAGUCCCACUUCAUGAGCACUUCAGAAGAUACUAACUGAGCAGAUGGUACGAGAACAAUACACAACAACAACACCAGGCACUAGCCUAGAGAGGCCAAAGAAUGAAUAUGUCUACAAAAUUGGCAUUUAUGGCUGGAGAAAGCGUUGCCUCUACCUAUUUGUUCUCCUCCUGCUGAUCAUCCUAGUUGUGAAUUUUUCUUUGACGAUUUGGAUUCUUAAAGUAAUGUGGUUUUCUCCAGUAAGUGUCUUCUUUAAUUUUCCUUUUUUUCACUAGU